GAUUCUAGCUCAGAACGAACGCUGGCGGCAGGCCUAACACAUGCAAGUCGAGCGCGCCCUUCGGGGUGAGCGGCGGACGGGUUAGUAACGCGUGGGAACGUACCCUUUGGUAGGGAAUAGCCACUGGAAACGGUGAGUAAUACCCUAUGAGCCCUUCGGGGGAAAGAUUUAUCGCCAAAGGAUCGGCCCGCGUUAGAUUAGGUAGUUGGUGGGGUAAUGGCCUACCAAGCCUACGAUCUAUAGCUGGUUUUAGAGGAUGAUCAGCAACACUGGGACUGAGACACGGCCCAGACUCCUACGGGAGGCAGCAGUGGGGAAUCUUGGACAAUGGGGGCAACCCUGAAUCCAGCCAUGCCGCGUGAGUGAAGAAGGCCUUAGGGUCGUAAAGCUCUUUCGCCUGUGAAGAUAAUGACGGUAGCAGGUAAAGAAACCCCGGCUAACUCCGUGCCAGCCGCGGC
rnacentral:rRNA from 1 species